ACCGCAGUCCCCUCUCCGGCGUCCCAUGCUGCUUACUCUAUUUAUAAACCCCUUGCCCUCCUCCAUGCACCCGUCGCAUUUUUUUCCAACACUCUUCGUUGCGCUAGGUGUUUGCAAAAGAGAAGUGGAAGUAGUGCGGCAUGGAGGGGGAAGAGUGGUUUAGGGUUAGUAAGUGGAGAAGAAGGAUAAGUUGUGUAUUUGCAAUGAGAUA
rnacentral:lncRNA from 1 species